rnacentral:lncRNA from 1 species
UUGAUACUCAGGAGGCAAAAACUUCAGAGAAAAAGGAUGAAUUUGAAACCUUGAAUAUGAAAUUAUUAAACACAGAACACUUAAUAACUUUGAAUACAACGGCUAUAUUUAAUGAAGAGGCUCUCAUAGCAAAACAGAAAGAAACAAGUAAGCAAUUGGAAAAAAACCUGGAAUUAAAAAAAACAAACAUGUUGGAACUCUCAAAAAAGAAAGAUCAGCUUGAUUCUGAGUUACUGAUCUUAAAAUCAAAAAUUGCCCAAGAAAAAGAGGAUUUGAAUAAGGAACUUGAAAAGAUUACAGAAGAGCUACAUAAUGUUGAAUGCCUAAAUAAAAAGCUUAAAUUAGAAAAUGAAGGUGCGCGCCGAAAGUACCACCAAUUAGAGGAAGAACAACAACGCUGGGCAGUAAAAAAGGAUAAGACUGUGGCA